AGUCGAAGAUGAGAUGCGAAGCUCUUACCCUCACCUAUUCUCUGGUAAGUCUAUUUUCGCGGACGAAAAUUUUAUUUAUUGGGGAGAAUGUAAAGCCCUUAAAAUUUUAAGGCUAUUGGGCCUCAGGGAAAGCAGCCAGGCCCAUCAGAGUUGGCUCUUGGCCUUGAGAGGGGUCUUUCCCUUAGUCANCAUUUUCAUUCUUCAGCAUUUCAGUCUCUCUCUANAAACUCCAUAACCAAACCCUAACUNUUCUCCAUCUUCUCUCUUCUUUUUCAGAAAUUUAAACCGUANAAAACUCCAAUUGGUGCCUUCAACUNGUUUCUGGUGUCGAGGGCUUCAGUUUGAGCCUACCAUAUCUCCAUUUCACUUGGUAAGUAAGUUUUCCCCAAUUUCCUCCAUUGUUCUUGCCCUAAGUAUGUACUAUUUCUNAUUUUUAUGAGUCCUGUAUCAUUUGGUCUUCCAUUCUUCACUGUUUCAACUCAAAAAGCUAAUCAAAAACUCCAUCACCUAAUCGGUGAUUUAUAGGUCCGGUUUUGUUCAGCACAGUGUAAGGAUUUCCUUAGGAGCGUUCUCUGAUAUUUUAAAAANNNNN
rnacentral:lncRNA from 1 species